AUGAAUAUCCAUGAUGUCAAGCAUGCUAAUCUCUUCCUCCACCAUGCCCAUAAAAGAGCCUUUUCUCUUUGGUUUAUUGCGCUCGCUCCCUCCCGUCUGUCCCCCUUGGCUCUGUCUGGCUCGUGUCGGCCCAUCCCCUAUCAGAAGAGAAGAGAGAGGCGGAGGCGGUGGAGGGGGGUCACCACCGUCGGUGAGCAGCGGCAAGGGGUUAGCUGGAGGUCAUGGAGCGCGGGAAGCUGCCGCAGCACAACCCUGGGAAGUUGGAGCCUAGCUGUCGUGGAGGAGCAGGGGGAAGGAGAGAGGGAGGUACUGAGAAGAGGGCGGCGGAGAUAUUUUGCCAGUCCCGCCACCAGCAAGGUUUCGCCGGUGAUGUCGGAACCGUUCGUCGGCGCCGUUCGAGCCGGAGGGUUGUGGAUUCUUGGGGGCAGAUCAUCGAGUGGAUGCUAUGAACCCAACUACGACCCUAAUGACAGUCCCCCAAACACUGAGAGUUGUGAUGAGAGCAUUGCAUAUAGUGAUGAAGAAUCUGUAUCUAGGAGGAAGAAGUUAUUAGAAGAUGCUUUAUUUGUUUUUUUAGGAAGGAGCCCUAUGGCAAUCAAAUCACUCGAGAUUUUCCAAAAUUCUGGAAGAAUGUCGACCUUAAAACUGAGAUAUCUUGAGGGGUAUGUCCAGUGGCCGGAAGAUGUCAUCUCAAAAUACGGGUUUGAGCCUCUUCUGAAAUUUGAGAAAACUGAUAUCCCAUCACGAUUUGUCCGCUAUAUUGUCGAAUGUGUAGACACAGUGUCAUCUCAAAUCAUUGUUGCUGACGAGAAGAUCAUUCCUAUCUCAAAGGAUUCAGUUCCUUGUGUGUUGGGCCUGCUAGACAGUGGUGAUUUAGCGACACAAGACAAGGAUAGUGGGAGGAACUUCAUUUUGUCUCGGUUUAGCUUGACAGAAAUGCCAAACAUUACUUUCUUUGGAGACAUGCUCAUAUCUUCUGAUUUUCACAGCGAGGAAGGCACUUUCAUAUGCUUCAUGGUGAUCGCAGUGUCGUGCUUCCUUUUUCCAUCUUCCAGCGAUCAGAUUCACAUUGAGUUUUUGACCUUGCUUGUUAAUCCAAAGCGCACAAGUGGUUUUGAUUUCUGUGCUUUGUGUAUGAUUGGAUACUCACUGGCAUCAACAAGUUUGUGA
rnacentral:rRNA from 1 species